rnacentral:rRNA from 1 species
GAUGAACGCUGGCGGCGUGCCUAAUACAUGCAAGUCGAGCGAACGGACGAGAAGCUUGCUUCUCUGAUGUUAGCGGCGGACGGGUGAGUAACACGUGGAUAACCUACCUAUAAGACUGGGAUAACUUCGGGAAACCGGAGCUAAUACCGGAUAAUAUUUUGAACCGCAUGGUUCAAAAGUGAAAGACGGUCUUGCUGUCACUUAUAGAUGGAUCCGCGCUGCAUUAGCUAGUUGGUAAGGUAACGGCUUACCAAGGCAACGAUGCAUAGCCGACCUGAGAGGGUGAUCGGCCACACUGGAACUGAGACACGGUCCAGACUCCUACGGGAGGCAGCAGUAGGGAAUCUUCCGCAAUGGGCGAAAGCCUGACGGAGCAACGCCGCGUGAGUGAUGAAGGUCUUCGGAUCGUAAAACUCUGUUAUUAGGGAAGAACAUAUGUGUCAGUAACUGUGCACAUCUUGACGGUACCUAAUCAGAAAGCCACGGCUAACUACGUG